UUUUUUUUCACGUGGAAUUCCGGUAAAUUAGUAAAAAGAGUAAAAAGAGCGUUCAUUGAGAAAGCAGCUUGGAGUUGCUCGAAGUAGCUUUGACAGUUAUUUGUUGACAAAAAAUACGAGCUAGUACAACCAACCCCGAGCAAGUUCGAUAAAAGUCAUUGAACACAGCUAAUAUUAUCCGAGGAAAACCAUAAAACAUGAGACAGCUGAAGAUUACUGGUUCUGCAUUAUUGAAAAAGCCGGUGACGCCAAUGUUGACCGCAUCGUCACACCUUGGUUUACUUGCCGGACACAAAGGCUCCGACAAAGGGUACCACCAAGACAUGUCCCAGGCGAUAGACAACCCCCGAUGGAACGGAGCAGUUAGGCGUUGGUCUUCGGCGAAUUGUCACGCUCGAUGGUGUGUGCCGCUCUUCAAUGGAACUGCUGCAAAAGCACGGCAAGAAACUCAAUUUUCAACACGCCGCUGUGUGGACAAAGGGUUGCCGGGUUUACGAUCGGCGUGACCAACACCGUAACAUCUGCGAUUGUUGAGAUGCAGUUUGUGGACUAGACCAACGAAAUGACCUCAAUCGGAUGGGGAACAUCCAUGCGAUAAAGGAAGUGUUCGAUGUGGCGAAAAAAGCAUACGGAGCAAGGGGUGGAUCACUUGUUCAAUGCACAUUAAAUGUGCAUCAGUUUGCAUCAAAUGCAUUUUUUGGACAUUCACAUCAACUUAGCCCUGACCUGUUGUUGCCAUAUAGCAACGCGCCAUUGUUUGUUUUAAAAGUUUUGAAACCGUUUCCAACAAAAAUAAGCUUUCUCUGAUAUUAGGCAAAUAAUCGCAUGUUUUAUUUGUUUCAGGUUAUGAAGUAGUUGGUUCAAACUGGAAAUAUAUAAAAUUUGAAAUAGGAGCCUGACUGACGGUGCUCAGGGGUCUUUAAGCUAUUGGGCGUCUGAUUUUUGAGGACAUCAUACAUUUAUUCAAGGAAGAUCCCUGCGUACAACAUGGAGAAGAUAAACAUUGCUUAUCAGGAUUACAUUGUCCUACGUUCCCAUAAAAACAGUGCGCUUCAAAAUCUGGAUUAAUUGUAACAUUCUUCUCGAUCAACCAACAGUGUACGCUUUACUGGUGGCGAGUAUAAAUCCACAUCGAAUUUUCCAAUCCAAGUCUAGAUGGAAAUAUUCAAAAAUUACCCUCAACAAGGGUCUCGGAGUUCCGGAACAACUGUGUUUAAUUGUUUAAGUGUGGUUUAGUAAAUGAAUCAUUAUAAUAAAAAGGUUCGAGUCUUCGUCAAUUCAAUUUA